rnacentral:rRNA from 1 species
UACGUAGGUGGCAAGCGUUGUCCGGAAUUACUGGGCGUAAAGCGUGCGUAGGUGGUGAGUUAAGUCUGUCGUGAAAGCCCCGGGCUCAACCUGGGAAUGGCGAUGGAUACUGGCUCGCUAGAGUGCGGUAGAGGAGAGUGGAAUUCCCGGUGUAGCAGUGAAAUGCGUAGAUAUGCGGAGGAACACCGAUGGCGAAGGCAAUCCCCUGGGCCUGCACUGACGCUCAUGCACGAAAGCGUGGGGAGCAAACAGG